GCGCUUUUUCUUUCCAUCUUCACAUUCCAGCUCCUCCAUGAAAUGCUAAUGUAGCCUAAUUUACGCAAUUCUUAAUUGUAGGCUACUUGUCAAAAGUGGUAUUGAUUUAAAAUAUAUAUAUAAUACAGUCGAAGUUGUUUUCAAAUGAUCACAUGUACGUAGUUGGUCGCAAUUUUCUUUUUCAAAAUGCCUGCGAUGGGAGCGUGACUUCCGCAUUUUGUACGCUGAACAAAAGUUGCUUUCAUAAAGUGUCUUGAUCGAGUGUCAAUUAGCGUUAAAAAUGUGUUUUUAACAUUGAUACUGAAUAUCCACAGGUUGGUUAGCUUGGAUCUAGUCGCCAAGGAGAAAAGCUUGUAAGCGCUACGAUGAUAGAAUUGGCGGUGUACGAUAAGUUUGAAGAUUGAUACAAUGUUUAUUUUCAUCAAAGUAAACUGCCGCCAAGGUGGCUACAAAUGUAGCGUGGGCUGUUUAAAUUCGAGUUGCGGGAAGUGGAGGCCGGCAUACUAUCUUGUGACUUGUGUUACUUUGAGAUACACGGCCAUACAGAGUCUGUAGUCCACUUCUGAAUAUAAGUGAUGGUCUUUCAUGGUGACUUGUAAACCCGCUUGACUGAAUUUUGUUCAUCAAUGAGAAAUAUAGGUAAUGUUCAGGUUAGUUGCGACUGUAGGCUGUUGCGAAAGUCUGUUCUUCAUAAAUUGAAUAAUAACCGCAGUCCACCCCAAUCACAAUAUCAACCAUGCGCCAAAGUCGUCAGUGUUUAUUUUUUUUGUCAUGCUCGUUGAAAGAAUAUCGUUUUUGUAGAUGGCCUACAUUGGAAUAAUUCACUUUGGCUGCUUAAAAGGAUAGUUCUGGAUUUGAGCAGGAUGCCCUUAUCUACUUCCCCAGAGUUAGACGAACUCGUGGAUGCCAUUUUUAUGUCCACGUUCAGUUUGAAGGAAAUUUCAAACUAGCGUUAGCGCAAUGACUUGAAGUAUGUGGGAACACGCUAACACUAGUUAGCAUUGGCUCACGAAAAUACCUCGUAAGUUUCGUAAUACUGGACGCAGAGAUCCAACAAUGGUAUCCACGAGGUCAUCUGACUCUGGGGGAAAAUACCGAACUGUUCCUUAAUAACAUUUGAGCAAGUGCAAAAUUUCGUUAAAAAAAUAAAUGUAUUCCACAUAAGGCUUAAUUGUUGUAUAUGGCUUUGGCAUAUGGUUGUGUAUGACAUUUCUUGUGUAGCCUACAUUCUGCGAAUGUUCAGAUAGGCCUACAAUGUGUCUUUGGGAAGACCUACAUCAACUACAGCCCUCAUGUAUUAAUGAAAGUCACUGUUUUUAAAAAACAAACAAUAGUUUUAUUAAAUUUGAUACAAAUCUAUCCAAGACACAUAAUCUCCUAGUUGCUCCAAUGAAUUUCAAUACACUAGAUUUGUUGUAUAUUCCUCUCACUUCAAGGCAUAUUGUUCUAGACUUGUAGAAUUAAAAGUGUUUUAUUUUAAUUUUAAAUGGGCAAUCCUUAGUCAAUAGGGUUUUUGUCAUCAAACCUAUACAUAACUACCUGCAAUUUUAUGGUGAUGGAAAAUGUAUCAACUAUUGGGGUGAUUUUUAUUUGAUGUUUUAUAUAUAUUUUACAGCUACCUACCUGUGACUCCUGUAUUUGGGUACUGUAUGGCAGACUGGUGGGAUAUCGGGGAGGUUAAUGGCAUCAUAUAAAAGGCUCGCCACUCCCUGCUGGGCAACAGAUCACACGGGCACAGUGAUAAAUGAUGCAUUCACAGCUACACGCUCCGGUCCAGUACACGCACAAUAGGCACAGAUGCUUGGACAGCCGGACUAAUGAUUUCCAGGAGACCACAUAGGUGGGGGAUGAGGGUGGCAUAGGGCUGGAGGGACCAAAGGGUUGGUUAGAGCGGUGAGGUGUAUAUGGAAGGGAGACCGCUGUGAAGAUGAGGCACCAGUUGCUGCAUUGUCAUCAUUGUUCAUAGGCUCCUGUUCAGGGGGAGCUGGCAGAUUUUUUUCUGAACUGAUUGAAUGGCAGAUGGAGGAAAAAAUAGUUUUUUCUGUAAUGAAAUGAAAAUCAAGAGGUAUGAUAGUAUUCAACUGCUCACUGUCAACAAAUUGAAACGCCCAAAAGUUCCUUCCCGAAAUGGAAUACUAUGGCUAUUGUUUCCAUCUCUCAAAAUAAACUGUGAUGAUCUGAAAACAAGGCCGUUUUCCUGUAACAUUAUUAGGGCGCAUUCUUUCUUUGUUAUUCCACUUCUUUUCUCGCCAUCUUUCAUCAAGGGGGGUCAUUGUUUUAAAGAUUCCACCACUGAGUGUGAUGGAAAGUGGCUUGUGGAAAAUCUCCACUGUAAACAAAUGAGGCCUAGAACAUGUCCAAAACAAGGCCUUUUUAUAUGGUGAAGUAAUUGUGGAAUUCUUUUAUUUCUCUCCAGUGUUUCAUCUCUGAGCUACUAUCAGGUUGUGGCCUCAGCUGACCAUUCUUUCCCCCCAGGGGUCCACUGUGGAACCAAGAGACCUGCUCUCUAGCGCUCUUUAAAAAGAAAAAAUCCUCUCUCUCUCUACUGAGGAUUUCAAAUUCUUUCCGCUCGACAGUCACUAUGUAUUAGGCAUCCCUUUUGUCACACGCCACCCCGUCUCUGUGACAGAGAACACAUCUCACCCCCACUGCCCCUUUCUCUCCUGCUCGAUCUCCCUCUCUGCUCGUUUGGCUUAGCUGCCAAAUGAGAGUACCACACAUUAUUACACCUUCUGUUUCCUCCACUGUAAUUUCUAUUCCAACUGCAGAGGGAAUUGUCCCACAUAGACCUACUCACAAUCGGCAUUUCGCAAUAGCCAUGUGCGUUCUGUUCUAACCUACAUUUCAGACUAGUGCAAUAAAGGAAGUUGCAUCCCAUUGAUUCGUAUUCUGCUUUUAACUGUGGCUCCUGGGGUCUUAAGGAGAAACCCAGGCAUUCACCAUCUUUUGUUCGGUGGGAAAACCGACUCUUCCAGUGGACGUGGUGGGAGUUUUAAACGCAUUUCUUGUGAAUAAAUGAACUUUUUUCUAAACUGGAGAGAAAAGGGGGAGGAGAGUUACACGUGACUCGGUCCAUUCAGAUAUCCGAGAGGUGUGGUUGUCGCCUGUAGCAACGGGGCAAAGUCCCAGGGCGAGGAGGAGCCAAUAUGCUUGAGCGAGCAGCUUUUGUAUUUGGCACACGUACAGGAACAGAAGCAGGAAUGGUGUUCACAGGAAUUCGACCCUGGCUGUAAAAUAUGCACCCGCUCGACCGUCUUUUAUGAACUUUUGUUGAUCUGGCGGUGGUGUUGUUUUAGCGUAAAAGUGAGAGGCCCCUCGUCUCACUGAGGCUCUGUUCUGUCUAUCGCUGUUGUUUUUGAGGACAGUUCUUUCAAACUUUCUGUCCUCUUGGAAAGAGAUGUCUUGCCGGCUUCACCCCCUUCUCCACCCAUCCUGCGUUCUUGCACUCUCUUUCACACAGUUGUUUCUCUUUCUGUCCCAGACUAAUUACACUCACUCCCAUAUGCAACGUUCAUGAGAACAACGAUUACGCAGUUCAGAGUAGUAUAUUCAACUAUGGGAGAAAUGGUAUGCAGACCCAAGCCAUGUUUACCACAGUGGUGUUGCUCCCACUCCCAGAUCAAACCAUUACAGUAAUCCCAUAUAAGAAUGCAGUAAGCCUGGUAUCUUAAGUGUUUUGCUAAGAGGGUCUGAAUAAAUUCCAUGACUGUACAGUUUGUCCAAAAUAAAGUCACUCUAAAGAUA